rnacentral:rRNA from 1 species
UACGUAGGGUGCAAGCGUUGUCCGGAAUCAUUGGGCGUAAAGCGCGUGUAGGCGGUCCGGUAAGUCCGCUGUGAAAGUCGGGGGCUCAACCCUCGGAUGCCGGUGGAUACUGUCGGGCUUGAGUACGGAAGAGGCGAGUGGAAUUCCUGGUGUAGCGGUGAAAUGCGCAGAUAUCAGGAGGAACACCAAUUGCGAAGGCAGCUCGCUGGGACGUUACUGACGCUGAGACGCGAAAGCGUGGGGAGCAAACAGG